CUGGGCGUAAGCGCGCGUAGGUGGUUUGUUAAGUUGGAUGUGAAAUCCCCGCGUUUAACCUGGGAACUGCAUUCAAAACUGACUGACUAGAGUCUUGUAAAGGGUGGUGGAAUUUCCUGUGUAGCGGUGAAAUGCGUAAAUAUAGGAAGGAACACCAGUGGCGAAGGCGACCACCUGGACUAAUACUGACACUGAGGUGCGAAAGCGUGGGGAGCAAACAGGAUUAUAUACCCUGGUAGUCCACGCCGUAAACGAUGUCAACUAGCCGUUGGGAGCCUUGAGCUCUUAGUGGCGCAGCUAACGCAUUAAGUUGACCGCCUGGGGAGUACGGCCGCAAGGGUAAAACUCAAAUGAAUUGACGGGGGCCCGCACAAACGGUGGAGCAUGUGGUUUAAUUCGAAACAACGCGAAGAACCUUACCAGGCCUUGACGUCCAAUGAACUUUCUAGAG
rnacentral:rRNA from 1 species